rnacentral:rRNA from 1 species
AUUGAACGCUGGCGGCAGGCCUAACACAUGCAAGUCGAGCGAGCGGCGGACGGGUGAGUAAUGUCUGGGAAACUGACUGAUGGAGGGGGAUAACUACUGGAAACGGUAGCUAAUACCUCAUACCAUCAGCUGUGCCCAGAUGGGAUUAGCUAGUCGGUGGGGUAACGGCUCACCUAGGCGCCGAUCCCUAGCUGGUCUGAGAGGAUGACCAGCCACACGGGAACGGAGAUACGGUCCAGACUCCUACGGGAGGCAGCAGUGGUGAAUAUUGAACAAUGGGCGCAAGCCUGAUGCAGCCAUGCCGCGUGUAUGAAGAAGGCCUUCGGGUUGUAAAGUACUUUCAGCGGGGAAGCGUUACCCGCAGAAGAAGCACCGGCUAACUCCGUGACAGCAGCCGCGGUAAUUC